rnacentral:rRNA from 1 species
UUCGCCCUUCGGUUGAUCCCGCCGGACCCGACUGCUAUCAGAGUGAGAUUAAGCCAUGCGAGUCAACGUAGCAAUACGUGGCAUACGGCUCAGUAACACGUAGUCAACAUAACCAAAGGACGUGGAUAAACUCGGGAAACUGAGGCUAAACCGCGAUAGAUCAAGAUACCUGGAAUGGUUUUUGAUCAAAAUCUAUAUGGCCUUUGGAUUGGACUGCGUCCGAUCAGGCUGUUGGUGAGGUAAUGGCCCACCAAACCUAUAACCGGUACGGGCUCUGAGAGGAGGAGCCCGGAGAUGGGUACUGAGAUAAGGACCCAGGCCCUAUGGGGCGCAGCAGGCGCGAAACCUCUGCAAUAGGCGAAAGCUUGACAGGGUUACUCUGAGUGACUUUCGUUAAGAAAGUCUUUUGACACCUCUAAAAAUGGUGUAGAAUAAGGGGUGGGCAAGUCUGGUGUCAGCCGUCGCGGUAAUACCAGCACCCCGAGUGGUCGGGACGAUUAUUGGGCCUAAAGCAUCCGUAGCCGGCCUUACAAGUCCUCCGUUAAAUCCAGCUGCUUAACAGAUGGGCUGCGGAGGAUACUAUAAGACUAGGAGGCAGGAGAGGCAAGCGGUACUCAGUGGGUAGGGGUAAAAUCCGUUGAUCCAUUGAAGACCACCAGUGGCGAAGGCGGCUUGCCAGAAUGCGCUCGACGGUGAGGGAUGAAAGCUGGGGGAGCAAACCGGAUUAGAUACCCGGGUAGUCCCAGCCGUAAACGAUGCAGACUCGGUGAUGGACUAGCUUUAUGCUGGUCCAG